rnacentral:rRNA from 1 species
AGAGUUUGAUCCUGGCUCAGAAUCAACGCUGGCGGCGUGCCUAACACAUGCAAGUCGAACGCGAAAGUCCCGCAAGGGGCAAGUAGAGUGGCAAACGGGUGAGUAACACGUGGGUGACCUGCCUUCGAGUGGGGGAUAACGUCCCGAAAGGGACGCUAAUACCGCAUGACAUCCUGCCUUUGGAAAGGUGGAGAUCAAAGCCGGGGACCGCAAGGCCUGGCGCUUGGAGAGGAGCCCGCGGCCGAUUAGCUAGUUGGUGAGGUAACGGCUCACCAAGGCGACGAUCGGUAUCCGGCCUGAGAGGGCGGACGGACACACUGGGACUGAGACACGGCCCAGACUCCUACGGGAGGCAGCAGUGGGGAAUUGUUCGCAAUGGGCGCAAGCCUGACGACGCAACGCCGCGUGGAGGACGAAGGUUUUCGGAUCGUAAACUCCUUUCGAUCGGAAAGAACAGCUUUCGGGUUAACAGCCUGAGAGUCUGACGGUACCGAGAGAAGAAGCCCCGGCUAACUCCGUGCCAGCAGCGGCGGUAAUUC